rnacentral:rRNA from 1 species
UUCCGGUUGAUCCCGCCGGACCUGACUGCUAUCGGAUUGAUACUAAGCCAUGCGAGUCAUUGUAGCAAUACAAGGCAGACGGCUCAGUAACGCGUAGUCAAUCUACCCUAUGGACGGGAAUAACCUCGGGAAACUGAGAAUAAUGCCCGAUAGAACAUUAUGCCUGGAAUGGUUUAUGUUUCAAAUGAUUUAUCGCCAUAGGAUGGGACUGCGGCCUAUCAGUUUGUUGGUGAGGUAAUGGCCCACCAAGACUAUUACAGGUACGGGCUCUGAGAGGAGUAGCCCGGAGAUGGGUACUGAGACACGGACCCAGGCCCUAUGGGGCGCAGCAGGCGAGAAAACUUUGCAAUGUGCGAAAGCACGACAAGGUUAAUCCGAGUGGUUUCUGCUAAAGAAACCUUUUGUCAGUACUAGAAACACUAACGAAUAAGGGGUGGGCAAGUUCUGGUGUCAGCCGCCGCGGUAAAACCAGCACCUCAAGUGGUCAGGAUGAUUAUUGGGCCUAAAGCAUCCGUAGCUCGUUUUGUAAGUUUUCGGUUAAAUCCAUGCGCUUAACGUAUGGGCUGCCGGGAAUACUGCAUAACUAGGAAGUGGGAGAGGUAGACGGUACUCGGGAGGAAGGGGUAAAAUCCUUUGAUCUCUUGAUGACCACCUGUGGCGAAGGCGGUCUACCAGAACACGUUCGACGGUGAGGGAUGAAAGCUGGGGGAGCAAACCGGAUUAGAUACCCGGGUAGUCCCAGCUGUAAACUAUGCAAACUCAGUGAUGCAUUGGCUUAUGGCCAAUGCAGUGCUGCAGGGAAGCCGUUAAGUUUGCCGCCUGGGAAGUACGUACGCAAGUAUGAA